rnacentral:piRNA from 1 species
UAGAACUCAGUUCUAAUAUAAGCUUGCCAA